GUGUCAGCAGCCGCGGUAAUACGUAGGUGGCAAGCGUUAUCCGGAAUUAUUGGGCGUAAAGCGCGCGUAGGCGGUUUUUUAAGUCUGAUGUGAAAGCCCACGGCUCAACCGUGGAGGGUCAUUGGAAACUGGAAAACUUGAGUGCAGAAGAGGAAAGUGGAAUUCCAUGUGUAGCGGUGAAAUGCGCAGAGAUAUGGAGGAACACCAGUGGCGAAGGCGACUUUCUGGUCUGUAACUGACGCUGAUGUGCGAAAGCGUGGGGAUCAAACAGGAUUAGAUACCCUGGUAGUCCACGCCGUAAACGAUGAGUGCUAAGUGUUAGGGGGUUUCCGCCCCUUAGUGCUGCAGCUAACGCAUUAAGCACUCCGCCUGGGGAGUACGACCGCAAGGUUGAA
rnacentral:rRNA from 1 species